rfam:Corchorus olitorius cultivar O-4 contig18340, whole genome shotgun sequence.
AUGGCAUGUUGAGGACAAUCGACGCAAAGUUUCUUGAAUCUCUCCCAAGCUAGGUAAAAAUUCUCAUCCUUGCGUUGUCGAAAACUUGCAAUCCUUUGUCUCCCCUU